AAGUCGUAACAAGGUCUCCGUAGGUGAACCUGCGGAGGGAUCAUUACAAGAACGCCCGGGCUUCGGCCUGGUUAUUCAUAACCCUUUGUUGUCCGACUCUGUUGCCUCCGGGGCGACCCUGCCUUCGGGCGGGGGCUCCGGGUGGACACUUCAAACUCUUGCGUAACUUUGCAGUCUGAGUAAACUUAAUUAAUAAAUUAAAACUUUUAACAACGGAUCUCUUGGUUCUGGCAUCGAUGAAGAACGCAGCGAAAUGCGAUAAGUAAUGUGAAUUGCAGAAUUCAGUGAAUCAUCGAAUCUUUGAACGCACAUUGCGCCCCCUGGUAUUCCGGGGGGCACGCCUGUUCGAGCGUCAUUUCACCACUCAAGCCUCGCUUGGUAUUGGGCAACGCGGUCCGCCGCGUGCCUCAAAUCGUCCGGCUGGGUCUUCUGUCCCCUAAGCGUUGUGGAAACUAUUCGCUAAAGGGUGUUCGGGAGGCUACGCCGUAAAACAACCCCAUUUCUAAGGUUGACCUCGGAUCAGGUAGGGAUACCCGCUGAACUUAA
rnacentral:rRNA from 1 species